GGCAGCAGAGACUCUGUUCUCCUCGUUUGGAUUAAUUCUGAUAUAAUAACUGUUGGUUUAUUUAUCAGUGCAGCAGCAGAACAUUUUCCACACACAGUUUUCCUGCCCGUUGGCUUGUUUUAACCAGUUUUCUACCUUCGGCUGAUUCUACCAGCAGACACUGAAAGGACUCUGAUAGUUCGAGUGAAUGCAGCAGUUCCUCCUUAAGGUCAGAGAUUGCAGCAUCUGAGGGCCUCUUCAAAAGAAGACGUAGUUGAUGAAGGCGUUCUGGAGCAGGACCAGAAAGACCACGACCAAGCAGCCUUGAGAUCUUAGGCAGCGUCUCCCUUCGGUCCCUCUCUAUCUCCCCACACAUCCACCAACCACUGGAACACAUCUCCAAAGUUCUGUGGGGCCAGCUCAGCUUCCCCUCAGAAGAAGUGCCACCACCUGCCAGAUGACGGAGCCUUUUGAGAGGCAGCUGGCAUCGUGAUUGGACUGUCAUUGGUCUGUUCCAAUCCAGCUUCAGCUCCAGAGACAGCAGGCGGGACGAGUCAAGGGAGGCCGGGUGGACGAAGGCAUGCAGCUGAGUCGAAAAAAAAAUGUGAUUUUUCAGCAUGUUGUAAAAACAUGCCAUAUGAUGAAAUAAUGUAAAGGAGGCCAUGAAAUGCACUCCAGAAAGGUUUUCUUUGGAAAAAAAAAUCAUAAUGAAUUUUGGCGCAAAAAAACGCCAUAGUAUACUAUGUCGAAAAAAAAUGCGAUUUUUCAACAUGUUGGAAAAACGUGCCAUAUGAUGAAAUAAUGUAAAGGAGGCUGUGAAAAACACUAUGGUAAGGUUUUCUUUGAAAAAAAAAAACAUCAUGAAUUUUGGCACAAAAAAACGCCAUAGUAUACUAUGUUGAAAAAACAUGCGAUUUUUCAACAUGUGGUACAAACGUGUCAUAUGAUGAAAUAAUGUAAAGGAGGCCGUGAAAAACACUCCAGAAAGGUUUUCUUUGAAAAAAAAAAAAAUCAUGAACUUUGGCGCAAAAAACGCCAUAGUAUACUAUGUCGGAAAAAAAAUGUCAUUUUUCAACAUGUGGUACAAACGUGCCAUAUGAUGAAAUAAUGUAAAGGAGGCAGUGAAAAACACUCCAGAAAGGUUUUCUUUGAAAAAUAAAUCAUCAUGAAUUUUGGCGCAAAAAAACGCCAUAGUAUACUAUGUCGGAAAAAAAAUGUCAUUUUUCAACAUGUUGUGUAAACAUGCCAUAUGAUGAAAUAAUGUAAAGGAGGCCGUGAAAAACACUCCAGAAAGGUUUUCUUUGAAAAAAAAAAAUCAUGAAUUUUGGCGCAAAAAAACGUCAUAGUAUACUAUGUCGAAAAAAAAGUGAUUUUUCAACAUGUAAAAACGUGCCAGAUGAUGAAAUAAUGUAAAGGAGGCCGUGAAAAACACUCCAGAAAGGUUUUCUUUGAAAAAAAAAAUCAUCAUGAAUUUUGGCACAAAAAAACGCCAUAGUAUACUAUGACGAAAAAAAAAUGUGAUUUUUCAACAUGUUGUGUAAACAUGCCAUAUGAUGAAAUAAUGUAAAGGAGGCAGUGAAAACCACUAUGAUAAGGUUCUUUUUGAAAAAAAAUUGUCAUGAAUUUUGGCGCAAUAAAACGCCAUAGUAUACCGUCGAAAAAUGUCAUUUUUCAACAUGCUGUGUAAACAUGCCAUAUGAUGAAAUAAUGUAAAGCAGGCUUUGAAAAACACUCCAGAAAGGUUUUCUUUGAAAAAAAAAUCAUUAUGAAUUUUGGCUCAAAAAAAUGCCAUAGUAUACUAUGUCGAAAAAAAAAUGCAAUUUUUCAACAUGUUGUAAAAACGUGCCAUAUGAUGAAAUAAUGUAAAGGAGGCCGUGAAAAACACUCCUGAAAGGUUUUCUUUGAAAAAAAAAAUCAUGAAUUUUGGCGCAAAAAAACGUCAUAGUAUACUAUGUCAAAAAAAAGCAAUUUUUCAACAUGUAAAAACGUGCCAGAUGAUGAAAUAAUGUAAAGGAGGCCAUGAAAAACACUAUGGUAAGGUUUUCUUUGAAAAAAAUCAUCAUGAAUUUUGGCGCAAAAAAAAACGCCAUAGUAUACUAUGUCGGAAAAAAAUGCGAUUUUUCAACAUGUUGUGAAAACAUGCCAUAUGAUGAAAUAAUGUAAAGCAGGCCGUGAAAAACACUCCAGAAAGGUUUUCUUUGAAAACAAAUCAUGAAUUUUGGCGCAAACAAUGCCAUAGUAUACUAUGUCGAAAAAAAAAAUGCGAUUUUUCAACGUGGUAAAAACGUGCCAUAUGAUGAAAUAAUUUAAAGAAGGCCGUGAAAAACACUAUGGUAAGGUUUUCUUUGGAAAAAAAAAUCAUCAUGAAUUUUGGCGCAAAAAAACGCCAUAGUAUACUAUGUCGAAAAAAAAAAUGCGAUUUUUCAACGUGGUAAAAACGUGCCAUAUGAUGAAAUAAUGUAAAGUAGGCCGUGAAAAACACUCCAGAAAGGUUUUCUUUGAAAAAAAAAUCAUGAAUUUUGGCGCAAAAAAACGCCAUAGUAUACUGUGGAAAAAUGUCAUUUUUCAACAUGUUGUGAAAACAUGCCAUAUGAUGAAAUAAUGUAAAGCGGGCCGUGAAAAACACUCCAGAAAGGUUUUCUUUGAAAAAAAAAUCAUCAUGAAUUUUGGCACAAAAAAAACGCCAUAGUAUACUAUGUCGAAAAAAAAAUGUGAUUUUUCAACAUGUUGUUAAAAACCUGCCAUAUGAUGAAAUAAUGUAAAGGAGGCCGUGAAAAACACUCCAGAAAGGUUUUCUUUGAAAAAAAAAAUCAUCAUGAGUUUUGGCGCAAGAAAAACGCCAUAGUAUACUAUGUCGAAAAAUGUCAUUUUUCAACACUAAAUCUUAUUGAAAAAUAUGUUUUACUCAAGUCCACCUGUUUCAGCCAUCUCUACCCAUCAUUAUGUACCACUCUAAGGUACAUUAUACAAAAAAAAUCCAGUAGAUGUCACUGUGUUUUGAAAUAGCAUGCAGAGCAAGUUAGUCUGCUCACAGGAAGUUAGCACGAGCAAAAUCUCUCCUCACAUGAGGCCUCUGUUUGCUGUUAUUUUCAACAGUAAAGUAAUACUUUUGACAUAUUAUGGUGCCUAAGGAGUUGCUGAACACAAAUGUGUCAUUUAAAAUGUAAAAAAAAAAAAAAAAAAGAUUUAAAAGGGUAAAAUAAUUUUUCUCAACCGUUUGGUAGAGGUCAAUAUUUUAAAAAUCGCUGGGUCUCUUCAUAAAAAAAACAUUGAUUGUUGUUAUUAAUGCCCCAAAGACAUAAGAAAUAUAAAGAAAUAAUUUUUUCAUUGCCUUUUUCUUGGUGAGGAUGUUUAAGGGUUAACUUAACAUCUGUAAACAAAACAAAAACGUAUCAACAAAGUUUUCUGUUAGAGUUUGUGUUCUUGUAAGGUUAACUCCAAGAUUUUAAAUACUUUCAUUUACUGCAAAUGAAUAUCUACUCCAAAUGUCUCACUAAUAAUCAUUAUCAGCCUUAAAAACCCACAAAACACCCCUCUAUACUCGACCACACUUAGUACAGUCCAGUUCCCCCUUCUAUAAAUCUGCUUGGAAUCUUCCACUUCCUGUUUGUCAAAGUGGAAUUCUGCCUGGACAGGUUUUGUUGGAGCUCAUGCAACAAACAUUUUGGGUAACUGCACUUUAAUAUGGAUGGAUGACACUGAAUUAGAGUCUGUUUUAAUGAGACUGAGUUAAGAUGUGUAGCUCUGUCAUUAAAUAGGAAAUUAUUUCUCAGAAUUCACAGAGAAAAGUCUGAAAUGUUUGCUAGGUUAGCGUCCCACAUGUUCUUUGGCUCAGCUAAAGCUAACUCUCUCCAACUUCUGGAUCUCUUGAGUUGCUUGUUGUGAAAAUAUCUUGCUAGAGGUGCUGAAGCUCAGAAAGUCUGAGAUGUUUGUUCAAAAUAAGCUCAUUCUCAAGUCUGAUCUGAACUGUCCUCUUUUGUUUUAACUUUCCCUAAACUUAGGAGUUAAUGACAGAGCAGCACAUCCAGACUCAGUCUCAUUUAUGUAGAGAUUAAACUUCAGUGUCAUUCAUUGAUGUUAAAGUGCAGUUUUUCAAAUGUUUGUUGCACAUGCUCCUGACCAAACCAAUCCAGGUGGAAGACGAUGUGAAGAGAAAGCUCCAGAGGAUGAAUAUCACACAUUUACGUUGGAAAUAAAUGUCCUUUAAUUAGACAUUGUCAUGCAAAAGUUGGAUUUCCCUUUAAUGAUGUUCAAAUCUUUGUUGAGUGUUUGGUUGAUGGUGGUUUCUAAAUGUUUUCUGACACUCGGCCCCAAAGAUUAAAACCUUUUCCGGCUCACAAGCUGCAAAAAUUCACACAUUAUCAACUAUCUUUCUGAUGAAACUAAGAUAAAAAGUGAAAAACCGCGUGAUUCCUGCAUCAUGAAUGUAAAUCUUUUUGGUGAUGGUAAACUGAAUAUAUUUGGGUUUGACAUUUUAUAAACCAAAACAAGAAAUGAAUUACUGCAGAAAACAAUCAACAGAUUAAUGGACAAAGAAAAUGUGUUUUCCAACAUAUAUGGCUGAAUUACUCCAACAUUAUAAGAUACAUACAAUUUAAAUUCAGGUUUCUUCAUAUAACGCCCAUUACAGGUCAAAUUGUCUCAAGACGCUUUAUUUUUUUUUUUUUUUUUGUCAUAUUAAAAAUAUGACAAAGUAAGAAAUUUAAACCUCUUGACUAAUCCAAUUUAUUAUUUGGUUUUUAAGAGAUUAAUCGACAACUAAAAUAAGUUUCUCCACUAAAACUAAUGAAUAUGAGGUCAAAUCGAAGGAACAGUUUUAAAUACUGCAGUCCCACGACGACAAGAAUAAAGUUUGUCAACAAAAAGUAAAUCUGCUGGUGGAUUCCAUUAAAGUCCUAAUAAAUGAUAAUAAAGUGUGAUACUAAAGCUUUGUGGUGCUAAAAAUGUCAAAGUAAAGAUAUCAAGUUGAACAUCUGGAUGGAGGUUGAUAAAAGUUGACCUCCCUUCAUUUCUCUGGAAUCGACUCCAUGGAUUUUAUGGACGGUGGUUAAAGACCUGCUCGUCUAGUCGUCGUCCUUCUAGUCGCUGUAAAAAGUCAGUCCAUCCUGGCCGACUUCAGCACCUCUUCAUGACAACUUGUUCUGCCUCAGACCUGGUGGAAACUCCAGAAACUCGGGAAAACCCGUGGAGACUCGAAGAACUCGUGGAGACUCGAG